GAUGAAGAACGUAGCGAAAUGCGAUAAGUAAUGUGAAUUGCAGAAUUCAGUGAAUCAUCGAAUCUUUGAACGCACCUUGCGCCCUUUGGCUAUUCCGAAGGGCAUGCCUGUUUGAGUAUCAUGAAAACCUCAACUCUCAUGGCUUGCCAUGAUGAGCUUGGACUCUGGGGGUCUGGCUGGCUUUACGGUCAGCUCCUCUCAAAUAAAUCAGCUUGCCGGUGUUUGGUGGGAUCACAGGUGUGAUAACUAUCUACGCUUGUGGUUUUCCGCCAGGUAACCUUCAGCAAUGGAGGUUCGCUGGAGCUCAUAAAUGUCUCUCCUCAGCGAGGACAGAUUUUGACCGUUUGAUCUCAAAUCAGGUAGGACUACCCGCUGAACUUAAGCAUAUCAAUAAGCGGAGGA
rnacentral:misc_RNA from 1 species